rnacentral:tRNA from 8 species
UGGUUGCGGGGGCCGGAUUUGAACCGACGACCUUCGGGUUAUGAGCCCGACGAGCUACCAGGCUGCUCCACCCCGCG